rnacentral:rRNA from 1 species
CGUAUAUUUAAGUUGUUGCAGUUAAAAAGCUCGUAGUUGGAUUUCGGAUGGGGCUGAUCGGUCCACCUAUCGGUGCGCACUGAUCGUGCCCCAUCUCGCUGUCGGGGACGGGCUGCUGGGCUUAAUUGUUCGGCACCCGGAGUCGACGACGUCACUUUGAGUAAAUUAGAGUGUUCAAAGCAGGCCUACGCUCUGAAUACGUUAGCAUGGAAUGACACGAUAGGACUCUGGCUUAUCCUGUUGGUCUGUGAGACCGGAGUAAUGAUUAAGAGGGACAGUCGGGGG